rnacentral:lncRNA from 1 species
AGAAAUAAAAAUUCAAAAUCAAGGUAAGAUAACCUCAAAAUGAUAGCUUUCUCCGAUUACAUUAGCAGUGCCAGAAUAGGAAUCGAGACCCGAGUUAGACCGGAAACCCUCGUCGGCAACCUUGAGCACAGAGCUUCACGGGAUUAUUGGAGGAUUUUGGAUCUGUUUUCUCGGGAAAAAAUGGAAACGACUUGAGCUUAAAUUAUUUAACUCUCAUGAGUUUUCUCUGGAUGAAGAAAAUCAAUAGCAGUUGCUACCUUCUUUUCCCAAGCAACUGUGUUUUUCCUUUUGUAAUAACGCUACUGCACAACUUUUCUUCCUUCGGCUAUAGGGUUCUCUUCGUUUGUGAGCGUGUAUCUGUGUGCGUAUGUGUUCCGGCAAGUGGGUGGUGAAUGGGUCAAGAAAAAGAUGAAGCCAGAGAGGUCGUUUAAAAGAAACGACGGUCCCAUUUUUGGGGGGUUUUUUGCGGCUGAAGACGAUGAAGCAGCAACAGUUGCUGCUGGUGAUCGACGUUAAGGGUCGAAGGUUGUUUGGUCGUGCUGGACGACGGGAAGGAGAUCUAGGCAGCAGCUGGGGGCUGUUUGGGUCGCGGGUGUAUUUUCGGCGACUGGUGGCUUGCUAGGGUGGUCGUUUCGGACCUGUUGCUGGAGGCGGCGGCUAGGCGGCGGAACUGGAGUGAGCAGCGGCGUUUUGGUUGUGGAGAGGAGGGUGGCAGCCGGUUUUAGGUGCUGAAGGGUCUCUUCAGGCGCUAGGUUUUCGCUAGUAUUUCUUCAAAAAGAAGAAGAUAGGGCCGCCUCGAAGGCCGGUUUUAGGUGCUGAAGGGUUCUCUUCGGCGGCUAGGUUUUAGCUAGUCUUUGUUCAAGAAUAAGAAGAUAGGACCCUCCAUGGUUGUUCUUGUCUUAAGGUUAAAGGUCUCAGGAAUCAUCAGGAAGAAGAAGAAGAGACUAGUAGGGUUUUUAAGUUUU